CUCUUACAAAGAAAAAAGGGAAAACAUCUCAUAGUGGUGGUAGCAGCAGUCACCACCAUAACAGCGGUAGCAGCGGAUCAAAACCAAAGCCGAAACUGAAACCAAAACCUAAAGCUCCGUCUCAUAACCAGGCGCCAACUCCAUCUCAUAACCAGGCACCAACUCCACCCCAUAACAAGGCACCAUUGCCGGCCCCGGUCCCCAAGCCGAAGGCACCAACUCCACCCCAUAACAAGACGCCAUUGCCGGCCCCGGUCCCCAAGCCGAGGGACGACGAUCAAGCUUACACCUAUAAUG
rnacentral:lncRNA from 1 species